rnacentral:rRNA from 1 species
UCCGAGCGGUAGCACAGAAGAGCUUGCUCUCGGGUGACGAGCGGCGGACGGGUGAGUAAUGUCUGGGAAACUGCCUGAUGGAGGGGGAUAACUACUGGAAACGGUAGCUAAUACCGCAUAAUGUCGCAAGACCAAAGUGGGGGACCUUCGGGCCUCAUGCCAUCAGAUGUGCCCAGAUGGGAUUAGCUAGUAGGUGGGGUAACGGCUCACCUAGGCGACGAUCCCUAGCUGGUCUGAGAGGAUGACCAGCCACACUGGAACUGAGACACGGUCCAGACUCCUACGGGAGGCAGCAGUGGGGAAUAUUGCACAAUGGGCGCAAGCCUGAUGCAGCCAUGCCGCGUGUGUGAAGAAGGCCUUCGGGUUGUAAAGCACUUUCAGCGGGGAGGAAGGCGAUAAGGUUAAUAACCUUGUCGAUUGACGUUACCCGCAGAAGAAGCACCGGCUAACUCCGUGCCAG